rnacentral:tRNA from 1 species
GGGAAUGUGGCUCAGUGGUAGAGUGCUUGCCUAGCAUGCAUGAAGCCCUGGGUUCGAUAUUCCUCAGUACCA